CCCCAGCCUCUAUCCCGGCGCCGCCAUGGGCUGCGAGCUGCUCCUCCUCUCCUCGGUCUGGCUGCUCUUCGUCGUCUUCUGGAUGGAGACCCUCAGCGCCUGGCUCUUCCUCUGCCACCUCGCCCAGGACCACCGGGCCGCCUUCUUCUUCCACGGAGCGGGCGCGCAGCGGGCCUCGGGCACCGAUCCGCUCUACCCCUUCCACAUUUUCGUCAGGUGACCCUCACUCGGAGCCAGAGUCUUGUGCCCUGCGCUUCUCCACUGAGACACCUCUUCGCCCAAGGUGACCCCCAAAGGUUGGAAACCCCCGAAGGAAAAGAAUCUUCAUCAACACUUCAACAGCUGGAUUUCAGGCUGAUCUCCUCCAGGAGGUCAUCCUUUGCUGUAGCUGCAUGCCUCUCUCCCUCCCAAGAGGAGAAAGCAUGGUUUCUGCAGAUGGGUCCAUAUUCUCUCCCCUGGAGUCAGCCAGGGUGAACACAGCCUUGCUUCCUUGUGCUGGACCGGCCAGUUUGGGAUCCAACGUAUGCAGCAGGAGGAGGAGGAAGACCACCGCAGCUCAGCCAAAAGAUGGUCAGUGGCAGCCACCUGAACAGUGAGGAAGGAGGACUUGGCCUCUGGCAAAUGAAUGGAUCCUGCUUUUGGUGGUGGUGUUUCGAAGACCAGCUCACCUGGCGAAAUGCUGUCAGCCAGGUGGACCCCAGUGGGCAGGCCUGGAGCCUGAGCAUGGAAGAGCCUGCCUAUGGCUGAAGCGCCUUAGGCUGCAGCUAGUCUUUCUCCCCUCCUUUUUGCCUGAGAAGGAGGGAAACCCCCCCUGCUCCAGAAGGGGUGCCCCUUUCGUCUUCCACAUCUUACUCUCUCUCAGGGACAUCACUCUCCCACCCAGAGGGAGGAAACGGCCGCCAGCAUCUGCUCCUCUGCCCUGGAGGGGGCCUCUCCUUGGCUGGCCUGCACGAGAAAAGCUUUCUCCUGCCUUCAAGAGGCAGGGGGUCUGCAUAAAUAAAGCUUUGGUGGUUUAGCCUC